rfam:Pseudomonas fluorescens Pf-5, complete genome.
GAAGUUGUCGUCUUCAGCACUUAGUAACGCAUUGAUGAAGUUGGGCGGAAUGUCGGCGAAACGUAUGGGAGUACGGCGCAUUUCACCGAAUUCAGCGAUCAGUUUGCCGUCGCUGCUGUACACCCGCAGGGGAAUCUGCAACUGGAUGCUUCUCAGGGCCUCAACCGACGGCAAGCCGGGACUAAGAUAGAGAAACGCACCGGAGAGGGCGAGGAGGAGCCCGCAGAACACCGCGACGAUGGACCACCCGAAAAACUUCAGCAGACGAAUCAAGGCUUUUGGAUUUCCAGAGAA